rnacentral:rRNA from 1 species
UGGGGAACCUGCCCCAUAGUCUGGGAUACCACUUGGAAACAGGUGCUAAUACCGGAUAAGAAAGCGGAUCGCAUGAUCAGCUUUUAAAAGGCGGCGUAAGCUGUCGCUAUGGGAUGGCCCCGCGGUGCAUUAGCUAGUUGGUAAGGUAAAGGCUUACCAAGGCGAUGAUGCAUAGCCGAGUUGAGAGACUGAUCGGCCACAUUGGGACUGAGACACGGCCCAAACUCCUACGGGAGGCAGCAGAG